UACGGAGGGUGCAAGCGUUAUCCGGAUUCACUGGGUUUAAAGGGUGUGUAGGCGGGUAUUUAAGUCAGUGGUGAAAUCUCCGGGCUCAACCCGGAAACUGCCAUUGAUACUAUUAUCUUGAAUAUUGUUGAGGUAGGCGGAAUAUAUCAUGUAGCGGUGAAAUGCUUAGAUAUGAUAUAGAACACCGAUUGCGAAGGCAGCUUACUAAACAAUUAUUGACGCUGAGGCACGAAAGCGUGGGGAUCAAACAGG
rnacentral:rRNA from 1 species